ensembl:lncRNA
GGAAAAGCUGGCGGACAGAGAGGGAAGUUCAGAAGUCUGUUAAGGGAAAACAAACCACAGAGGUCGGACGAAAGGAAAUGAAGAGGAUGAAAGUGGAUGAAGAACCCUGGAGGGUUGGAGAGAAUGGAGAAGGGAAAGGGAACUAUUUGGCACACUGGGGUCCUGAUUGCGUAAACAAGCUGUGGUCCCUUUCUCCACAUCUUUAUUGGCUCUACAGAUCUGAGACCAUCUCAUUUCCCUGUAUUUGUGUAACCCUUGACCCCUCCAGUGUGUUUACGCAUCACCCCAGAAUGUGUUUAUCAUCAGCACUGGGAGGUCGUGACGAUUCCGAGCUCAUACAGUUUAGCUUCCUGUUGGCCAUCACUGCUCGUUGGAAUAAAAACUGCUGCCCCCGGAUGUGGACCAUCACCUUACCCGACUCAAAAAUGGGUUCUGUGACUCUUUUGUUUCGUGACUCUUUUGUUUCGUGACUCUUUCAGGCCUGACCUCUGACCUUUUCCUGGUGCCGUCCUCACCCACGUCUGUACCCAUGGAGGAGACGAUUGAUACCGCUCUCAUGUGUGUCGGGGAAACAGUCCCCGGUUAGCUUAGCUUAGCAGGAAGACAAGAAAACAAGGGGGAAAAACAAUCCGUAUUCAUUUCCAGCUGAAGGCGGGAGAGGCCCGUGUGCCACCGCGCACUCUAAAGUGCAACCGUCCCAUCCUGGACCUGCCAGAAAAGAUCUGCCGCGAUCCGAUUCAGGACGUCAGCUCUUCUGUUGGUCACCUGUCCUCGGUGGUCCGAUGCGCGAGGGAGACCGGACCAUUGUGUCGGGUCACAAGGAGCCGGUUAGUGAGGACACGCACAAGGUCAUGGAGGAGGCUUUGUCAAGGGCCGGUGUGCAGCGCAUCAUCCUUUGCCACGAGGCGGGACUCAUCAUCCCAUCGCUGCAGGAGUCAAUGAGCCAGUUGACCCGUCACGGUUGAAUUUCUUCAGCUGCCUCAGGAAGAAAAGCCCCUGCUGAGCCGUCUUGGUGAUGGAGCCCAGAUGCAAAUACAAAUACAUUUCAAGGGAAACUCAUUCAUAUAUUCAAUUCUAAAUUGUCUUAUUUGAGGAAAUUGCACUUUCUUGUUUCCUGUUCUCCUGAGUUUGUACCCCUAUGGUUGAAUGCACUUAUUGUAAGUCGCUUUGGAUAAAGGCGUCUGCUAAAUGACAUGUAAUGUAAUGUAUUUGUUUUGGCUUGUUUUUCUCGUACCACAAACAUGUUCCAACCUAAUAAAACACUUUUAGUGUUUUAUUUCAAUAUACAGUGUUAAGCACCGUCUUCAAACUGUUUAAAACUUCCAGGCCGGGACAAGAUCACCGCCCUGUAGUUUGAAAAGCGCUUUUCUUUCUUUCUCGGCCACUCAAAGCACGUUUACACUGCAUUUUACAGUGUAAUUCACAAAGCAGACUAACAAAGUACAGGGGAAAGGUGAUUAGUGCGGGGCAAACAAUCAAUGAAAAGGGGGGGAAAAAACAUGACGCCUAGCGUUAACUUUCAAAAUAAUACACAGAUAAACACAAUACAAACACUGGAGACCAUUAAGAUUCAUUAAGUUUCAUUCACCUACCAAAAUACAGGUUACUUCUCUUUUGCUCCUUCAGAAUAAAGCUCUGCGAGGGUUUCCUGUGUGACCAUCGGAGUGCUCUGCUCGUCCUUUACUUCUACUCCCUGGAUGCACGACAAACACACACACACACACACACAGAAAAAACACACACAAGAGUGAUCUACAGCCAGACAGGAAGCCGCCCCCCCCUCCUCUGUUUCCAGUUUCCAGCAUGGAUGGAUGUGUGUGUGUGUGUGUGUGUGUGUGUGUGUGUGUGUGUGUGUGUGUGUGUGUCCAUGCUCGCUCUGUGCAGGCAAUCGGCUGGAGGCAGACUGAGCGACGCUGGAAGAGAAUGACACACACACAGGAGAAGAUAGUGGAGCUCGGCAUCCUGACUGGAACUACCAGGUGAAACCUCUUACCAAGCGGCCCUGGAAGCCACCAGCUGAUUGGAGCAAAAGGGGAAUGAAAGGCCGUGGAAGCCAGGAUGAGCCGGAUGAGCUGGGAGUAGCUGGAGGCGUGCAACUUGCAGAGUGUGUUCGAGUGUCUGCGUUUGCCGGGUUGUGCUGGUACUUGUUUGUGGUGGCGUUUUUGUUUCUGCUGUUGGACAGUAUGAUUUUGAGUUUGAACCUGAUGUGGAUGUUUAUUUAUUAUGAAAUAAAUCCCUCUUUUGGUUAAAAAUUCCUUCUUUUAUAGUUUAUUUUCCAUUUGUUACUCCCCGACUCCCCUAGACAUCCGUCGAGGGACAUAACAGCAACCGAACCUCGACGAAAGUUGCGUCCUAUUGUCGACAAACUGCUCCUGUCUGCUGUUGUUGUUGUUGUUGUCAGACAGCUGCAGCUGGUUUUACGGGGGAUCGUAAACGCGCUGAGACGUGCCUCCUCACUCCUCCCUCCUCCCUCCUCCCGCUGGUACGAGGUUUCCUCCCAGAGCUUCAACGUGUGGUUUUACCUGCACGUGAAAACUGCGUAGAAGUAUUUUCAGAUGCAUCAGCGGAACAGGGAGAAGCCUCGGCCUCGUGGGCUUUAUUCUGAACCAGGAUGAGCAGAAGAAAUGACCCCAUGUGAGACGUUUGCAAGGCGCAAACCCAAAGAAGUAGCAGCUGCACCCCCCCAACACCACCACCCCACCACCUCCUGCUCCGGACUGUGUGUGUGUAACCAGACUUGUGUAGUAAAGAUGAAAGCUCGGCACACAGUCGUCCAAACAGAGGCUACUUUCCAUUGCAUUUGCAUCCUCAGAUUUUCAUUGAUUUGCUUAAGGACCCGGCGGCAGCCGAGCACGCGGGACACACAAACGGCAAACUUUUUCAUUGUUCCUGUUUUAUGAUCAGGUAUAUCAAGAAUCAAACCGGUUCUGUGAAAUAAAUGAUUUUAUUCGUUAUAUUCCA